UUAAAUAAAAAGUAACAUACAUUCAAAUUAUUCAAUCACCAGAAUUAAGUGAAAUUCUACGAUAAGUUCGUGCAAUCAAAGUCGAAAACUCAUUUUGUUUGGUAGUCAGUCAGUCAGUCAGUCAGUCCUCCUUCAUUGCUCCUCUUCUACGACCAAACAGCUUUUCAAUCACCAAUAAGUAAUAACAAACGUCAAAACUCCUUCCCAUAUUGAAGUAAGAAUUCAAUUCUUUAAGAUGUUUAAUCCUGCUAUACAUUCCAAAAUUAUAUUUCUUUCCAAAGCAUUACAAGUCAAAAAAAAAAAAAAAAAAAAAAAAAAAAGCCAUUCUUAAAAAAAAAAGAAAAAAAAAGAAAGCCAUUCAUCACAAAACUAAUGAAAUAUUAUUCUAUCUUAGAAAAUAUUGCGAAUUCUAUUUGUACCGCACCACUAAUUUAAACAUAGCAACCAUGUUACAGAAGCAGGCUAUAGAACUGCUAGCUAUGCAUUCUAAUCCCAAGAAACUAAAGAAAAUUACUAAAUAACCAGAUUAUAGAGUAAAUAAUGGACUGGAGAAUACAUCUUCAGUUGCGAUCUCAAAAUCUCACUUUUAUUUUUCUCCUUGGUUAUGAAGUAUGCCUCCUUUUGCUCUUUCUACCAUGUUACAAUGGAGGAAAAGUAUCCUUUUCAUUCGCUUUCAUCGCCACUCUCCUCCAAGUAUAAGUGGUUCAUAUUUUU
rnacentral:lncRNA from 1 species